rnacentral:lncRNA from 1 species
CCCGUUCAAACCCGAAGCUCUGGUCUUUUUGCUCAAGUCCCGAGGGUCGAUUUUACUCCCGAGAUUCCCGAGAAUCCCGAGGAAAAUCCGUUUCCCGAGACGAAACUCUGCCCGGUUUUCCAUCUCGCUAUCUUCAAACUUUCAAGUGAGUUCAUACCCCUUAAUUUACCUUUUAAAUAUUUUAUAAAUUCUUUUAUAUGCUUUCAAGGGGGGGAUUACAAGUAAAACACACGAGUAUUAUCGUGUGUUACAUAAAGAAACUCUUUUAUAUGCUGUUAUAUAUCCAAAUCACAUGCGAUUUAUAAACUUUUAAGGAACUUUCAUAUAUAUAACAUAUGUUAAAAUAGCAUUCUAUCUUUUGAAAUAUAAAUUUGUUGUAAUGCAUGUAUAAACUAAACUUUUCUUAGAUUAUUCUUGUCUAUCUUAGACUCUACACCAAAAAUCUAUGCUUUCAUAAACAAGUGAUUUCUUUUCUAGGUAUUUCUAAACAAACAAGACACACUUUUAGAAAACUAUAAUAGGUAUAGUUUUACGAACAAAUUUCUAACUCUUAUGUACUAGAAACAUGAAUUUCAAGAAGUUUACUUUCGUAUACAAGAACAAACGUAACAUUUUAACAAGUAGAUCUGUUUUUAUACCACGGUUUUGUGAGACACUAACUUCAUGUACGUUCGAGUACACAUUUCAAGUCCUGUAUUAUAUACCAGAAUCCCUUGGAGGGGGAGCAUGGUGUUUGUGUAUAGAUCUAUACGGGCUUGACAACCCGCGCCCUGACUGUUAGCUGCAGUCCACCGUUUGGGGUGACAAACGUCAUAACAUUCCAACGCCUGAAGAACGUUGUGUAUAGGCAUUCCGAGUCAAUAGUAUGGUUAUAAAACUCACAAGGGGUAUUAAAAAUGCAUUGAUUUACAAGGUUUUCAAACUCAUUGGUUAUUUUACACUUACAUACAUUUUAGAAACAAACAUUGGUCUUGAGUGAAGGCUACUAUUAUACUAGUAGAAAAUAUAGGAUUUUCUAAACACAGACAAACAAAGACAAAACAUUUCAUUUCAUUCAAACAUUGUCAUUUAAAUACUUAUGAAACUCACCAGCUUAUAUGCUGAUCUACUCUUUCAAAAUUUACUUGUAUGUCCCAGGGAAUCAGUAAAUUUCCGGUAUUCAUUUUGCUUUUGAUGAAGGGAUGCUGCGGCGCCAGUUUAAUCUCGUAUUUUGACAUCAUAUUGUAAUUGGUUUUGAACAUGUAACUUUUGACAAAUGUAAACUUUCAAUUAUAUAUAUGAUGGUUGUAUUGCUUUCUUUACUAUGUAUUCAUUUGUUACGUUACCACAUGAAGUCAUCCGCCCCCGAACGUUUCCGCCGUUCAGGUUUGGGGGUGCGACGCUAGAACAAGGAGGAUAGCCGAUUUUGAAUGAUGGUGUACUUCUCUCAAAGUUAUUCCAAGAGUUGUGGUGUUGUGUGACAUNGUCAUCCGCCCCCGAACGUUUCCGCCGUUCAGGUUUGGGGGUGCGACGCUAGAACAAGGAGGAUAGCCGAUUUUGAAUGAUGGUGUACUUCUCUCAAAGUUAUUCCAAGAGUUGUGGUGUUGUGUGAAAUAUUUGAGGAAUCACAUUUGGGAUGCUAGGCUCACAAAGUUUUUAAGGAAUCCAAGCAACAAGAAAGGUAUGUUCUUCUACUAGCUUUUAUGUUUCAAGUUCCCCAUGCCAUGCUAGCUAGGUUAAUAACCUUGGAAAAAAUCAAAUUUGCAUGUAUCAUAGUAAAACAUAGAUCCAAGGUUUCUAGGGUUGCAUGUACACCAUAAGAGUGUUAGAAUGCUCAAAACCCAUCAGCGGUAUCAAAUACUAAGCUUGUUUUCUUGAUAUUUGAUGCAAACUGGUUGAAAAAGUCGAUUUUUUGUUCAAUGUGGAGUGGACUCGACGAGUCCAAAUGAAAAUGCAUCCUACUCGUCGAUUAGGUUCUUGCACUCGACGAGUAGGAGCCCCUAUGUGCAGAAUUUCGAGUUUUGCUGCUGGAAAUGGACUAGAAUCAUUACCCUAAACUGUUUUGGACUUAUAAAACCUGUUUUUUAUAGUGUAAUGAUUAUGCUAAUCCAUUUUCAAUGGUUAUUAUCAAAAUUUCAAGUUUUAUAUGUGUUAUAUGAUUCUUGAAAUUAUUGAUAUGAAUGUUCAUACACUUAUGAGAUUGGUAG